rnacentral:misc_RNA from 1 species
AUCAAAACUACUAGAACACCAAGUCUGUUUUAGAAGAAAGGAAAGAAAAAUGGAAGUGAAUUAAUGCAUGCAUCUCUAAAUGUUCUGGUUAAAGAUGUAGAGGAACAGAAGAGUAACUGAUAUCAUAAAAAUAAAAUCAGCUGCUAUAUUCUUACAGUUGCUUCUAACCCCGGAUGAAGGGUUUGGCGCUACAUGAGGUCUCUCUUGCACUACAAAACUCCCACGAAGGCCAUGAACAACAAGCCAACUGUUAUUAUACAAAUCAGGAGCUACGACCUGAUCUCCACUGAGCAGCACAGUAUCACCAGAUCUUGUGACAUUUAUCAGGAAUUCAUUAAAAUAAGUGGGUAACAACACCCCAUUAUCAAGAUUAGCCAGAUCAUUACUUGGAAUCUUGCAAGGUACAAAAUGCCUAAGAAAGAUCGAUCUGUAUUCGGUGAAUGUGCCGAUUAAACUUUUCAUCACCUCAUCUUGAGGAGCAAAGAUCGUUACAAAGGUCUGGUUCUUGAACUCUGUCAAUUGCAAAUCAAGAAACGAGGCUAUGACAGAGUACCCUCUUGAUCUCAAAGCCCCACUUGCCUCCUCAAACAUGCGGAAAUCGUCACCGUUAACAGUACAUCUAAAACUCUGAACGGGCCUCCCAUUGAUGGAACCAGAAACCUCAAAAUCGGGAUCAAGAAAAUUCUCAAUUCCAAAGACUACCAAAGACCCAUCAUCAUAUAUUGCAGACCCAUUAAUCUUGACACCAUUUAGUGAAACUACAUUGCCAUCAGACUGUGAGGAAGUGAUGAUGAGCGAAUGACUGGUGAACAGAGUGGGGAUCUUGGUUCCAGGAGGCAAGAAUUUGAAGGAAUGGAGAGGGAAAUACAGUGGAGAAAAGUGGAAUUGCAGGAGGGAGAGAGAGGGUUGCCCUACGUUAGAGAAUGCAGUAUCAGGGGGAGAGAAAAUAGUGAGAGAUGAAGAUGGCGGGAUUAUGGUUUGAGAGCCGAAUUCGAGAGUGAGAGCCAUCGAAUUAUAGCCGGAAAUCGAGAGGUUAUUGGCGGCAUAAAGAAUGGUGUCGGCGGGAAGAGGAGAGGACACAGGAAGGAAAGAAAGGAGGGUGAGGAAGAUGAGAAGUUGGGUCGCCAUUGAUGGAGAAUUUUGGCUGCAGGUUGUUUCAG